GGAAAAAUUAACAAAUGGGAAUAUGAUAUAAGUUUGGGAAGAAGGAAAAAAUAACAACAUAGGAAUUAUAUGUUCUGGCAUGGAGGUCUUAUAAUUCAUGCAUGCUAAGAUUGAUAAUUCAAUUAAGCAAUAUAAAAAAUCUAAUUGGCAGAAGAUGAGAGAAACUACUGAGAUAAUGAAAAAUGCAAGAAUUGUUUAUUGCAGCACAAAAAAACAAAAGUAAGAAUUGUUUGUUGAUUAUAGCAGAAAAUUCAAAAAGUUGUUCAUUAUACCAGACAACGACAGUAAAGGGGCAGGUUUUGGUGGAGGAGAUGUGAAUGAGAAAGGGCGGUCAGUUGUGUCCAUAUUAAUUGAACCUAGUCCACUUGGAAUGGAAUAUUUCAUCAAUUUCAAAAAAUAGAGCUGUUAGAAUGCUAGCUAUUUGUGUGUAACGUGUGUGUGAAUACUGUGAUUAUGGUUAUAGAGAUUAUAGGCUAUAAUUAUAUGAUUGAUUGCAUUACCUAAUUGAUGUAUUCUCAACCUGUAUAUAAACCCCAUAGCUUGAGGGAAUAAUCAAGCAAUUCGUUCCAAUUUCUCAUCUCUAUUCUUUUCUUCUUCUCUAUUUCGACAAGAGCAUUUCAUCAUGCAAUUCUUCAUAUUGAUGCACCAACCAGUAAAAUGACUAUUCCUAGGGAAUGGAAAAGCUAUUUUUAAGUAAUAGGCAACUACUC
rnacentral:misc_RNA from 1 species